rnacentral:rRNA from 1 species
AGAGUUUGAUCAUGGCUCAGGAUGAACGCUAGCUACAGGCUUAACACAUGCAAGUCGAGGGGAAACGACAUCGAAAGCUUGCUUUUGAUGGGCGUCGACCGGCGCACGGGUGAGUAACGCGUAUCCAACCUGCCCACCACUUGGGGAUAACCUUGCGAAAGUAAGACUAAUACCCAAUGACGUCUCUAGAAGACAUCUGAAGGAGAUUAAAGAUUUAUCGGUGAUGGAUGGGGAUGCGUCUGAUUAGCUUGUUGGCGGGGUAACGGCCACCAAGGCGACGAUCGAGUAGGGGUUCUGAGAGGAAGGUCCCCCANAUUGGAACUGAGACACGGUCAAACUCCUACGGGAGCA